rnacentral:rRNA from 1 species
UACGGGGGGUGCGAGCGUUGUCCGGAAUCACUGGGCGUAAAGGGCGCGUAGGCGGUUUGUCGCGUCGACUGUGAAAACCUGGGGCUUAACUCUGGGCCUGCAGUCGAUACGGGCAGACUUGAGUUCGGUAGGGGAGACGUGGAAUUCCGUGGUGGUAGCGGUGAAAUGCGCAGAUAUCAGGAGGAACACCGGUGGCGAAGGCGGGUCUCUGGGCCGAUACUGACGCUGAGGCGCGAAAGCGUGGGGAGCAAACAGG